rnacentral:rRNA from 1 species
UACGUAGGGUCCGAGCGUUGUCCGGAGUUACUGGGCGUAAAGCGCGCGCAGGCGGCGGUGCUGGCCCGGCGUGAAAGCCCCCGGCUCAACCGGGGAGGGUCGUCGGGGACCGCACCGCUUGAGGGCGGUAGGGGCUGGUGGAAUGCCUGGUGUAGUGGUGAAAUGCGUAGAGAUCAGGCGGAACACCCGUGGCGAAGGCGGCCAGCUGGGCCGUCCCUGACGCUGAGGCGCGAAGGCGUGGGGAGCAAACGGG